GUACACGCUGUGACUAGCAUAUCAAUAAGCGGAGGAAAAGAAACUAACAAGGAUUCCCCUAGUAACGGCGAGUGAAGCGGGAAGAGCUCAAAUUUGAAAUCUUAAAGGGUUUCCCUUUACGAAUUGUAGUUUAAAGAAGUGUUUUCUGUUGAGGUUUUGGUAAAAGUUCUUUGGAAUAGGACAUCAUAGAGGGUGAGAAUCCCGUAUUUGACCUUUACUUUCAACUUUGUGAUACACUUUCAAAGAGUCGGAUUGUUUGGGAAUGCAGUCCAAAAUGGGUGGUAAAUUUCAUCUAAAGCUAAAUAUUGGCGAGAGACCGAUAGCGAACAAGUACCGUGAGGGAAAGAUGAAAAGAACUUUGAAAAGAGAGUUAAACAGUACGUGAAAUUGUCAAAAGGGAAGCGUUUGACACCAGUGUUGUUUUUCUGAAAAUCAAUUAAAGAACUGUUUAUGCUAAGUUGUUUAGACUUUAUCAGCUAACUGUUUAGUUUUGAGCUCUUCUUUAAUGCACUUUUCAGUUAACGAAGUCAACAUCAAUUUCUUUUGCUGUAAAAAAGCUUGAGGAAGGUGGCUUGAGAUUCGUCCUUAAGUGUUUAUAGCCUCUUGCCUAUGCAGUCGGAGAGAUUGAGGUCUGCAGCGUAGAUCCUUCGGGGCUAAAUGCAUUUGUGCUAAGUUAUAGCAUUUUAUAGACAACUUGUUGACUAUGAUUUGUCUUGUAGCUUACUCGCUUAUGUUAUUUUACCUACGCUUAGGAUGUUGAGUCGUAGAGCACGCA
rnacentral:rRNA from 1 species